rnacentral:lncRNA from 1 species
GCUUAUUAUUAUUUGUAUAUAUAUAAUUAAUAUAUAUAGAGAGAGAGAGAGUCCGGCUGGGAUAUUAUAGAUAGCACUAAGAAUUUGAUGCUAUCGAGUUUUUCACCGUUAGAUUUAACGUUUGAUUAUUUUUACCCGUUAGAUUAUACAAUUCAACGAACCACUCACUCAAUCCUAGAAAGCCUACAUCAUCAUAAUCAUACAUUUCUCAAUCCAAGGGUUAAAAAACUAAUAGCACAAAUAGCUUGGUGCUAUUGAUAAUAUUUCAGUCUAAGUUCUC